GACGAACGCUGGCGGCAUGCUUAACACAUGCAAGUCGCACGGGCGGGGGCAACUCCGUCAGUGGCGGACGGGUGAGUAACGCGUAGGUAUCUAUCCUUGGGUGGGGGAUAACGGUUGGAAACGACUGCUAAUACCGCAUGACAACUGAGGUUUAAAGGCGCGAGUCGCCUGAGGAGGAGCCUGCGUACGAUUAGCUAGUUGGUGGGGUAAAGGCCUACCAAGGCGACGAUCGUUAGCUGGUCGAGAGGAUGAUCAGCCACAUUGGGACUGAGACACGGCCCAAACUCCUACGGGAGGCAGCAGUGGGGAAUAUUGGACAAUGGGCGAAAGCCUGAUCCAGCAAUGCCG
rnacentral:rRNA from 1 species